AAGUGCACAGCUUUGUGGUUGAUGGUUGCCCUGCACACAGGAGAUCAGCUGUCCUGCUAUCAGUGUUCAUGCCAGGGUCUGGCCAUGCCCUCUCUGCAGUAGUUUCAGCUCUUCCCCUGCAUUCUCCUGAUACUGGAACACAAUUGCUUUCGGCGCUCUUUGUGCACAGCCGCGGGAGGAGGCGUGUUCGGAGCCCCAGCUCCCUUCCCCGGGAUGCCGAGGAGACACCACCUCCACCAUCGUGACGCCAGUUGUCUCACAAGAAGUUCCUGGCAUGGUCUCGUACAAGACAGGGUCCCCCACUGAAAUGAGGGUGAGCUGCACUACGUGGAGUGAUGGCUGAGCUUACCCAGCAUUAGGCUGUUCCAGUCUGCUGCCUCACACACAAGAAGUCCAGAAUUUGGUGAGCUUUCACAUAUAUAUAUAUUUUUUUUAACACUUUUAAAAGAAGCCCAUAGGAAUACAAUUUAAAAUAAACUGUAGGCAUAAUUUUUUGGUGG
rnacentral:lncRNA from 1 species